AUAUGACUAAGAGGUCAUUGUAUAACAUUUUUGGGGAUCUUUAUCUGUGUUCAACAAAAUGCUUUGUAUAACAUUAUGGAGCAGCAACAUAGCUCCUUUUUUCAACCAGCAGCAACGGCUUCCUCUUCUACCAACAGGUGUAUACUCCCUCUCACGAAGAAGCAUAGCGGUUGUUGCUCUCUAUUUCGAUCUCAUUAUUUUGUUUGUCGUGUUGUUAAAUUUAGAUUUUCUUCAAGGUGAAGUAAGGUGCAAGAAGAGUAGUUCUUGGCAUAUAAGAUUGGUGAAGCCCGAGACCUAAGUUAUGGUUAAAUUGGGAAGCGACAAGUCCCAGAUUAUUUUGCAAGUAAAAGUAUUCAGCUAGGAUGGUUGGCUAUUAGCUGGGAUUGGCAAACUCCAUUUUCCUCCUGGAGCAGUGCCGAGUCAUUAUGGUUAUCAUAUGUGUGUAUGGGUACGUCGGGGCCCUGUCCCGACUCAUAUGAUUCAGGUGUUUACUCUUAGAGACUUUGCAGACAGUGUCCUGUGGUUAGUACGUUAAUAUGUCAUGUGUUGAGUGAAGCGACCAUGUAGGCCGAUAUGUCAGUUUGACUUACUCGGUUUUUGAUUAAUUGAGUAUCG